UACAGAGGUCCCAAGCGUUGUUCGGAUUCAUUGGGCGUAAAGGGUGCGUAGGCGGCGCGGUAAGUCGGGUGUGAAAUCUCGGAGCUUAACUCCGAAACUGCAUUCGAUACUGCCGUGCUUGAGGACUGGAGAGGAGACUGGAAUUUACGGUGUAGCGGUGAAAUGCGUAGAUAUCGUAAGGAAGACCAGUGGCGAAGGCGGGUCUCUGGGCAGUAACUGACGCUGAGGAGCGAAAAGCGUGGGGAGCAAACAGG
rnacentral:rRNA from 1 species